rnacentral:rRNA from 1 species
AGAGUUUGAUCAUGGCUCAGGACGAACGCUGGCGGCGUGCUUAACACAUGCAAGUCGAACGGAAAGGCCCUUCGGGGUACUCGAGUGGCGAACGGGUGAGUAACACGUGGGUGAUCUGCCCUGCACUCUGGGAUAAGCCUGGGAAACUGGGUCUAAUACCGGAUAGGACCGCAUGCUUCAUGGUGUGUGGUGCAAAGCUUUUGCGGUGUGGGAUGAGCCCGCGGCCUAUCAGCUUGUUGGUGGGGUAAUGGCCUACCAAGGCGACGACGGGUAGCCGGCCUGAGAGGGUGACCGGCCACACUGGGACUGAGACACGGCCCAGACUCCUACGGGAGGCAGCAGUGGGGAAUAUUGCACAAUGGGCGCAAGCCUGAUGCAGCAACGCCGCGUGAGGGACGACGGCCUUCGGGUUGUAAACCUCUUUUAGCAGGGAAGAAGCGAAAGUGACGGUACCUGCAGAAAAAGCACCGGCUAACUACGUGCCAGCAGCCGCGGUAAUACGUAGGGUGCAAGCGUUAUCCGGAAUUAUUGGGCGUAAAGAGCUCGUAGGCGGUCUGUCGCGUCUGCUGUGAAAACCCGAGGCUCAACCUCGGGCCUGCAGUGGAUACGGGCAGACUAGAGUGCGGUAGGGGAGAUUGGAAUUCCUGGUGUAGCGGUGGAAUGCGCAGAUAUCAGGAGGAACACCGAUGGCGAAGGCAGAUCUCUGGGCCGUAACUGACGCUGAGGAGCGAAAGCGUGGGGAGCAAACAGGAUUAGAUACCCCGGUAGUCCAA